rnacentral:lncRNA from 1 species
AGGGGACCCCUAGGGUCAAAAAUGUAUUAUUGUCAUAAAAGUAACAGAUAUUUUACUGUUCUCUUAAAGGACAAAUUCCUACUGGAAGGAUGCAUUCAUGCAGAGCAGUAAAAGGUUUCAGUACGGCAAAGAGGAUUAUCUGCAGCACAGGAACAGAAAUGACCAGUCAGAGCCUAGAAGGAAAGACAAGAAUGCCUAUGCUGUACUGUCAGAGAAAAAUGUCAGGAGAAUCUGCUCAUCGUGAUGAUUUUGAACAGUGGCUUUAACACAGUAGCUGCAAGGAAGUCCUUCCCCUUGACUUCAUCUGACAUAAAGAGCAGAUAUUUGAAGUCCAACCUAAUUCAGGACUUGGUCCAGAGAUCGUUUAAUAGUGUUUCCCCAAAAGGGCAUCUCUGCCGUUCUUACAACCAAUGUGAGUAAAUGUGACAGAAACAAGGGGCUAUUAUGGCAACGUUUUGCCUCAUUUUAGAUGCCUAAGACCAGCUUUGAAUGACUUCUUUGGCCAUUCUUCUGACAUUUGCAGCUAUAAACUGGCUGAUGAAGAUAAUUUUACAAUGGUUUUGUAUCACUGAAUGCUCCAGUGCACGCAAAACUGCAUCACCAUGCAAAAGAACCGGGGCAGGCCAGUGAAUCUGAUUCAGCGGUCUUCAUCCAGAAACGUUUCCAACAGCAUGAUAAUGUCAUUAUAUUUUAGAAUACUCUAGUGAGAUCAGAGGGACUCAUAUAACAUGCCUUAAGUCCUUUAAGGAAUAGUUUUCUCACAGCUAAACAAUAUAAUAUAACGUCAUAUUUGCAUUUUUGAAUGUCUGCCUCAGUUGUACUCAUUCAAACAGGUAUUAUGCAUUCUAAAACUUCAGCCACCAGAGGCUGUUGUUUGAACUGCUGCCACAAUGCUUAUUUUCUUAUGGCAGGAAUGUUUGAAAUAGUGUAUAUUAAAUAAAUAUUGAAGAACAGUCUUAGAGAGUUGGAAA